rnacentral:tRNA from 1 species
GGGCCGGCCGGCCGGGCCCUGGGCACCGGCCGCCUCGGCCGGCCGGGCACCCCGGCCGGGCGCGGCUCGCGGCGGGCCCG